GAGUUUGAUCUUGGCUCAGAUUGAACGCUGGCGGCAUGCCUUACACAUGCAAGUCGAACGGUAACAGGUUAAGCUGACGAGUGGCGAACGGGUGAGUAAUGUAUCGGAACGUGCCCAGUCGUGGGGGAUAACUGCUCGAAAGAGCAGCUAAUACCGCAUACGACCUGAGGGUGAAAGCGGGGGAUCGCAAGACCUCGCGCGAUUGGAGCGGCCGAUAUCAGAUUAGGUAGUUGGUGGGGUAAAGGCCUACCAAGCCGACGAUCUGUAGCUGGUCUGAGAGGACGACCAGCCACACUGGGACUGAGACACGGCCCAGACUCCUACGGGAGGCAGCAGUGGGGAAUUUUGGACAAUGGACGCAAGUCUGAUCCAGCCAUGCCGCGUGCGGGAGAA
rnacentral:rRNA from 1 species